rnacentral:rRNA from 1 species
AACGAACGCUGGCGGCGUGGAUAAGACAUGCAAGUCGAACGGGAGUUUAUUUAUAGCAAUAUGAGUGAACUCUAGUGGCGAAAGGGUGCGUAACACGUAGCUACCUACCUCGAAGUUGGGGAUAGCUCGGCGAAAGCCGGAUUAAUACCGAAUGUGAUCGUAAGAUCAAAGCUGGGGAUCGUAAGACCUGGCGCUUUGAGAUGGGGCUGCGGCCUAUCAGCUAGUUGGCGGGGUAACGGCCCACCAAGACUUAGACGGGUAGCUGGUCUGAGAGGACGACCAGCCACACUGGAACUGAGACACGGUCCAGACACCUACGGGUGGCAGCAGUCGAGGAUUUUUCNCAAUGGGGGAAACCCUGAAGGAGCGACGCCGCGUGAGGGAUGAAGGUCUUCGGGAUUGUAAACCUCUGUCAUCUGGGAACAAAGUGCUCAACCUAACACGUGAGUAUUGAUAGUACCGGAAGAGGAAGCAGUGGCUAACUCUGU